GCAGGCGUAGUUCAGUGGUAGAACGCGACCUUGCCAAGGUCGACAUGCGGGUCCGAUUCCCGUCGCUUGCUCCA
rnacentral:tRNA from 1 species